GCGACCAUGGAGCAGCCGGCAGCGCGUAAGUCUCAUAAUCUUAAGGUCGUGAGUUCAAGCCUCACUGGUCGCA